AUGGAGUCUCCGGUGUACUUCUACAUCACAAGACUGCAAAGGGUAAUCCUCCAGUUACUUUUGCAAUUGCUGCAUGUGAAACUCAGAAUGUAAGUGUGACUGUUCUGCCAUCCUUUGGACUGUCUGAGGCAAGUUGUACCACAGCGAAGAGUAUGUGGGGUAAAAUGUUGCAGGAUGGACAAUUUGAUCGGGAGAACUUCAAUUGUGGACCAAGG
rnacentral:misc_RNA from 1 species